AGAGUUUGAUCAUGGCUCAGAUUGAACGCUGGCGGCAGGCCUAACACAUGCAAGUCGAACGGUAACAGGAAACAGCUUGCUGUUUCGCUGACGAGUGGCGGACGGGUGAGUAAUGUCUGGGAAACUGCCUGAUGGAGGGGGAUAACUACUGGAAACGGUAGCUAAUACCGCAUAACGUCGCAAGACCAAAGAGGGGGACCUUCGGGCCUCUUGCCAUCAGAUGUGCCCAGAUGGGAUUAGCUAGUAGGUGGGGUAACGGCUCACCUAGGCGACGAUCCCUAGCUGGUCUGAGAGGAUGACCAGCCACACUGGAACUGAGACACGGUCCAGACUCCUACGGGAGGCAGCAGUGGGGAAUAUUGCACAAUGGGCGCAAGCCUGAUGCAGCCAUGCCGCGUGUAUGAAGAAGGCCUUCGGGUUGUAAAGUACUUUCAGCGGGGAGGAAGGGAGUAAAGUUAAUACCUUUGCUCAUUGACGUUACCCGCAGAAGAAGCACCGGCUAACUCCGUGCCAGCAGCCGCGGUAAUACGGAGGGUGCAAGCGUUAAUCGGAAUUACUGGGCGUAAAGCGCACGCAGGCGGUUUGUUAAGUCAGAUGUGAAAUCCCCGGGCUCAACCUGGGAACUGCAUCUGAUACUGGCAAGCUUGAGUCUCGUAGAGGGGGGUAGAAUUCCAGGUGUAGCGGUGAAAUGCGUAGAGAUCUGGAGGAAUACCGGUGGCGAAGGCGGCCCCCUGGACGAAGACUGACGCUCAGGUGCGAGAGCGUGGGGAGCAAACAGGAUUAGAUACCCUGGUAGUCCACGCCGUAAACGAUGUCGACUUGGAGGUUGUGCCCUUGAGGCGUGGCUUCCGGAGCUAACGCGUUAAGUCGACCGCCUGGGGAGUGCGGCCGCAAGGUUAAAACUCAAAUGAAUUGACGGGGGCCCGCACAAGCGGUGGAGCAUGUGGUUUAAUUCGAUGCAACGCGAAGACCUUACCUGGUCUUGACAUCCACGGAAGUUUUCAGAGAUGAGAAUGUGCCUUCGGGAACCGUGAGACAGGUGCUGCAUGGCUGUCGUCAGCUCGUGUUGUGAAAUGUUGGGUUAAGUCCCGCAACGAGCGCAACCCUUAUCCUUUGUUGCCAGCGGUCCGGCCGGGAACUCAAAGGAGACUGCCAGUGAUAAACUGGAGGAAGGUGGGGAUGACGUCAAGUCAUCAUGGCCCUUACGACCAGGGCUACACACGUGCUACAAUGGCGCAUACAAAGAGAAGCGACCUCGCGAGAGCAAGCGGACCUCAUAAAGUGCGUCGUAGUCCGGAUUGGAGUCUGCAACUCGACUCCAUGAAGUCGGAAUCGCUAGUAAUCGUGGAUCAGAAUGCCACGGUGAAUACGUUCCCGGGCCUUGUACACACCGCCCGUCACACCAUGGGAGUGGGUUGCAAAAGAAGUAGGUAGCUUAACCUUCGGGAGGGCGCUUACCACUUUGUGAUUCAUGACUGGGGUGAAGUCGUAACAAGGUAACCGUAGGGGAACCUGCGGUUG
rnacentral:rRNA from 1 species